AUUUGACCCAGCAAUCCCAUUACUGGGCAUAUGCCCAAAGGAACAUAAAUCAUUCUAUAAAAACGUAUGUUUAUACAGUAAACACGUAUGUUUAUUGUAGCACCAUUUACAAUAGCAAAGACAUGGAACCAACCCAAAUGCCCAUCAGUGAUAGACUGGAUAAAGAAAAUGUGGUACAUAUACACCAUGGAAUACUAUGCAGCUGUAAAAAAGAAUGAGAUCAUGUCCUUUGCAGGGACAUGGAUGAAGCUGGAAGCCAUCAUUCUUGGCAAACUAACAAACACAGGAACAGAAAACCAAACAACCGCAUGUUCUCACUCAUACAUGGGAAUUGAACCACAAGGACACAUGGACACAGGGAGGGGAACAUCACACUCCUGGGCCUGUCGGGGGCUGGGGAAUAAGGGGAGGGAGAGCACUAGGACAAAUACCUAAUGCAUGCGGGGCUUAAAACCUAGAUGAUGGGUUGAUAGGUAUAGCAAACCACCAUGGGACAUGUAUACCUAUGUAACCUGCACAUUCUGCACGUGUCCCAGAACUUAAAAUAAAAAAUAAUUGCAUUUCAGAUUGUUAACUCUGUUUUUCUUUAAUUGAUGCAUUUGCUGACCUGUCUGCUGUAUCCUUUGCCCAAAGGAGAUGCAGAAACUACCAGAGGCCGUUCAGCUAAUUGAGAAAGCCAGCAUGAUGUAUCUAGAAAACGGCACCCCAGACACAGCAGCCAUGGCUUUGGAGCGAGCUGGAAAGCUUAUAGAAAAUGUUGAUCCAGAGAAGGCUGUACAGUUAUAUCAACAGACAGCUAAUGUGUUUGAAAAUGAAGAACGCUUACGACAGGCAGUUGAAUUACUAGGAAAAGCCUCCAGACUACUAGUACGAGGACGUAGGUUUGAUGAGGCGGCACUCUCUAUUCAGAAAGAAAAAAAUAUUUAUAAGGAAAUUGAGAAUUAUCCAACUUGUUAUAAGAAAACAAUUGCUCAAGUCUUAGUUCAUCUACACAGAAAUGACUAUGUAGCUGCAGAAAGAUGUGUCCGGGAGAGCUAUAGCAUCCCUGGGUUCAAUGGCAGUGAAGACUGUGCUGCCCUGGAACAGCUUCUUGAAGGUUAUGACCAGCAAGACCAAGAUCAGGUGUCAGAUGUCUGCAACUCACCGCUUUUCAAGUACAUGGACAAUGAUUAUGCCAAGCUGGGCCUGAGUUUGGUGGUUCCAGGAGGGGGAAUCAAGAAGAAAUCACCUGCAACACCACAGGCCAAGCCUGAUGGUGUCACUGCCACGGCUGCUGAUGAAGAGGAAGAUGAAUACUCAGGAGGACUAUGCUAGUAUUUUGCUUGCUGAAAAGAAAAGGGAAACAAAGGUAAAAUCCUGACAUGCCAUUUCAAGGACUUGGGAAUAGAUUAGGGAUAUCCGUACUUCAUUACAGUCAUGAUUUUGGAUCCUAAUAAAGACUAGUUUUUAGUUACCAUCUUCCCAAAUCACUCAUUGUAUCCAUUACCUGUGAAGCAUAUCUUUUUCUUUCCAUAAGAGCUUUUCUAAGACACCAGCAGGAAUUAACAGAAAAUCUACUGUCAUAUUUUAAUACAGUUGAUUAAAAAAUUUGCAAGCCAAAUUAUACAUAAAUUAUGUUCUAAACAAAAGGGGUAAUAAGCAUAGGUAUUCUCUCUUGGACACUUGUAAGUUACCGUUAGUGAAUUGUUUUUUACGUUUCAUUUAAUAAUUGCUGCUAAAGGUGAUGUUUACUGAUAAAUUAUUUUAAAAUUUUUUUUGUUUUGAAAAGUAAAUUUAUCCCCCAUGAUGUUAGAUACAUUUAAAUUAUUAAGUCUUUUCAGAGAUGAGAUGGGGACAGGAAGUUAUUUUGAGCCUUACAAUAUUAUUUAGCCCAAUAAAAGAUGCAUUGAAGCUCUUAUAUAUUAUGAGUUUGAAAAAUUUUGAAGGUAGCAUAUUGAAGUGAUCUAUAAAUAUCUUCAGUCCUCUCUGAAGUGUGGGUAUUUCUUCUAUCUAAAAAAUACAUACAGUGACUGUCUUCAAAUCUACUUGGUUCUUGACCAAAUAGGAGCUAAUGGGUAAUGAAUACCUUUUUGUUUGUUUGUUUCUUUCUUUCUUUCUUUUUUUUUUAAGGGUCUCACUCUUUUGCCCAGGCUGGAGUGCAGUGGCACGAUCAUGGCUCCCAGGCUAAUGUUUUUAUUUUUAAUUUGUAAUUUUUUUUUAAUUUUUUUUGUUGAGAUGGAGUUGCUCCAUGUUGCACAGGCUGUUCUCAAACUCCUAAGCUCAAGCCAUCUGCCUGCCUUGGCCUCCCAAAGUGCUGAGAUUGUAGACAUAAGCCACCUCACCCAGCCUAUGAAUAUCUUUCUAACAUUGUAAGAAUGAGGUAAUGUUUCCAUCAGUCUAAUACAGAUAUAUUUCUUCCCUCCAAAACAGUUUAUUUUGAUUGUUUAUUUUAUUUUGAUUGUAACUCCGUCAUAACUUGACAUGGAAAAUGCUAUAUACUAUGAAAACUUAGCUGAAAGGGAAGAAUUGUUUUAGAAAGACAAUAUUUAAAACACCGCACUGCCAAUAUAUUGAUCCUUUAUAGUUAUUUCCUAAAAUGCUGUUUUCGAAACAUUCCUUUUUCACCCUGUUGUGUGGCUUAGACCCAUCUCAUAAUCUGUUAAUUGGAAAGAGGCUACAAACACCAGCAGUGUGCAUUCUGCAGGUACAUGCUGCCAAAGUAAUUUCCUGCUUAUUCAUGCCCUGUCUCUGUCUCUUUUAGAGUCAUACCUUAUUUGAGUAUAGGUUGCUUAAUUUUGCUAGACUUUCUGAAAACACUAAGGUGGAGUAUCAGAAGUGAUUUUAGUCACAGUUCUGUGGGAGAGCUUAGAAUAACAUCCUCCUUUGGGAGGUGGUCUCGGGUGCAUGGAUGUUGGUAUACAGUCUUUAUUGUAAGUCUGAUACAAAAUGCUAAAAUAAAUUUAAUGUUUUUCUUCCUUAAUUUAUUGGCAUAGUUCUUCAGGUAGCAUCUCAUUUUUAUUAAUGAUAUUGGGAUUAACUAUGAACAAGUUAUAUGUAGACAUUUGCAUUUAAGGACAUUGCAGUGUUUCAAAGAUCCCAUCAUUGCAGCUUGUAUCCUUUAGAUCCAAUCAGAAACUUCUGGAGUCUUACAUUAACGCUCAUUUGAGCUAAUUAGUAAUCUGUUUAAACAGAUUUGGCAAUACUUUAAAGAUACUGUAGACUAUUUAUGUAUAGAUAGAUCAUAUUACCCAUUAAAGUCUUGGGGAAAAAAUUUUUUAAUUUUACUCUUCUUAUGUACUGAAAACUUUUUUUAAAAAAGGUGAUGAUGAAGUGCAUUCUGUAGCAGCAGUGCAGCUAUGCUUUAAACCACACAAAAGGCUGUGUCCAAGUGCAGCCUCCUUCACCCUUCCUGCCCACGGUGAGGAUUGAAUAACCAGGACUUGGGGAUAUUGUUUGUUGUCAGGGUUAUUCUAUGUGGUAAGGAAUAUUUGUUUCACAUUUAUACAUUUUCUUUUUCCACUCACGUAAGUUUCUAUCUUGAGAGCAUAGUCCGAAGUGCAAAACUUGGUGUUUACAAGGAAAAUUGUCUUCCAGAACUCCACUGUCAUCACUUUCAACAAAGUGGAAGUUUGCAUGAAUAUGCUCAGAAUCUAAUAUUCAAUGUUCUGUUACAUUGUAAGUGAAGUCCAGCUACAAAAUAGAUUUAAUAUAUUGAAUUUAUUUGUACAUAUGCAGAGUAUGGUAUUUCUGUAUGGAAUCUGCUUUAUUCCUAUUUUUUCCAACUCUGAUGAGUAGAAUAUUAAAUGUGUUGUUAUGGAAAUACAGAUUAUUGCUUCUAUAGGAAGAUAAUUAUGAAAAUAAAACCUGAAACUAUAU
rnacentral:sRNA from 1 species